rnacentral:misc_RNA from 1 species
CGAAAUGCGAUAAGUAAUGUGAAUUGCAGAAUUCAGUGAAUCAUCGAAUCUUUGAACGCACAUUGCGCCCGCCAGCACUCUGGCGGGCAUGCCUGUUCGAGCGUCAUUUCAACCCUCAGAACCCCUUGCGGGAUCUGGCGUUGGGGAUUGGCAUCCAGCCAGCCCCGAAAUCUAGUGGCGGUCCCUCCGCGACCUCCCCUGUGCAGUAGCGAUACCUCGCAGCGGGACAGCGGUCUGACCACGCCGUAAAACCCCCAACUUCUCUAGGUUGACCUCGAAUCAGGUAGGAAUACCCGCUGAACUUAAGC